ensembl:snRNA U6 U6 spliceosomal RNA
GUGCUCACUGCAGCAGCACAUAAUACUAAAAUUGGAAUGAUACAGAGAAGAUUAUCAUGGCCUCUGCACAGCGAUGACACGCAAACUAAUGAAGCAUUCCAUAUUUUU